rnacentral:rRNA from 1 species
GACGAACGCUGGCGGCGUGCCUAAUACAUGCAAGUCGAGCGGACCUCUUCGGAGGUCAGCGGCGGACGGGUGAGUAACACGUGGGCAAUCUGCCUUUCAGACUGGAAUAACGCCUGGAAACGGGUGCUAAUGCCGGAUAGAGCAAUAAGUAGGCAUCUACUUGUUGGGAAAGGUGCUACGGCACCACUGAGAGAGGAGCCCGCGGCGCAUUAGCUAGUUGGUGGGGUAACGGCCUACCAAGGCGACGAUGCGUAGCCGACCUGAGAGGGUGACCGGCCACACUGGGACUGAGACACGGCCCAGACUCCUACGGGAGGCAGCAGUAGGGAAUCUUCGGCAAUGGGCGAAAGCCUGACCGAGCAACGCCGCGUGAGCGAAGAAGGCCUUCGGGUUGUAAAGCUCAGUCACCCGGGAAGAGCGGGC